CCAUGCAUGUCUAAGUAUAAGCAAUUAUACAGCGAAACUGCGAAUGGCUCAUUAUAUAAGUUAUCGUUUAUUUGAUAGUACCUUACUACUUGGAUAACCGUGGUAAUUCUAGAGCUAAUACAUGCUGAAAAUCCCGACUCCGGAAGGGAUGUAUUUAUUAGAUUAAAAACCAAUGCCCUCUGGGCUCCUUGGUGAUUCAUAAUAACUUUUCGAAUCGCACGGCCUUGCGCCGGCGAUGGUUCAUUCAAAUUUCUUCCCUAUCAACUUUCGAUGUUUGGGUAUUGGCCAAACAUGGUCGCAACGGGUAACGGAGGGUUAGGGCUCGACCCCGGAGAAGGAGCCUGAGAAACGGCUACUACAUCCAAGGAAGGCAGCAGGCGCGCAAAUUACCCAAUCCCGAUUCGGGGAGGUAGUGACAAUAAAUACUGAUACAGGGCUCUUUUGGGUCUUGUAAUUGGAAUGAGUACAAUUUAAAUCUCUUAACGAGGAACAAUUGGAGGGCAAGUCUGGUGCCAGCAGCCGCGGUAAUUCCAGCUCCAAUAGCGUAUAUUAAAGUUGUUGUGGUUAAAAAGCUCGUAGUUGAACCUUGGGCCUGGCUGGCCGGUCCGCCUCACCGCGUGCACUGGUCCGGCCGGGCCUUUCCCUCUGUGGAACCCCAUGCUCUUCACUGAGUGUGGCGGGGAAACAGGACUUUUACUUUGAAAAAAUUAGAGUGCUCCAGGCAGGCCUAUGCUCGAAUACAUUAGCAUGGAAUAAUAAAAUAGGACGUGUGGUUCUAUUUUGUUGGUUUCUAGGACCGCCGUAAUGAUUAAUAGGGACAGUCGGGGGCAUCAGUAUUCAAUUGUCAGAGGUGAAAUUCUUGGAUUUAUUGAAGACUAACUACUGCGAAAGCAUUUGCCAAGGAUGUUUUCAUUAAUCAGGAACGAAAGUUAGGGGAUCGAAGACGAUCAGAUACCGUCGUAGUCUUAACCAUAAACUAUGCCGACUAGGGAUCGGACGAUGUUAUUUUUUGACGCGUUCGGCACCUUACGAGAAAUCAAAGUGCUU
rnacentral:rRNA from 1 species